CACAUGAGUCAAGAGGAAGUAGUAGUAAUUAUUUAUUGGUCAGCACACAUUCAUCAGGUACUCACCACAUAUGUGCACCUGUUUAUAAGGGUCAUUUCUGUUCUAGAGUUUACCAGAGUUCACCAACCCUGUGAAGAGACAGGCCAGGAGUUCAGCCUUCUCAACCAUGCUUUGUGCCUUCAACCUCUAAACCAUUCCACAGAAAGAAUGAGACAUCUCAGUUGAAACUAAUACCCAAAAGGAACCUGAAUGGCACCUUUAAAAAAUAUCUCAUCCAGUCAUCCAGAACCUUUGUUUCUCUCACUUUAGAAGAGGUGAAAGAAGAAAGCUUGAGUCGUAAAUUGAAGACCUUCCUGUUACCUUCCUUUUACAGAAACAAAAGCAGCUUGUCAGGCAAAGAUUAUCUGAAUACCUUGUGCUUAACAAACAGACCAGACGAAUAUAUUCGUUCAGUGGAGUGUUUGCGUAAGGAAGCUACUGAAACUUACUGUUCUUGAGAAUGUUUCCUCCCCAUCUCACCUGCAGGGAAAGAGCACCGACUUCCUCCCUAACCUUAAGUACAGACCAAUAAGCCCUCCUGAACAAGCCUUCAUUCAUGAAGUUGUCUGUUCUGACCCACCUCUCCACAUUGCCUUGGCCAACUCUCCUGACCCUGUGCUCCUGGGAAAAUUACUCAACCUCUCUGAGCCAUGUGAGAUGUGAAAAACCUCAGUUAAAUGUCUGAAAAGGGCUCACUGGUAUAACCUGAUAACUGUUUAGAGCAUGCCUCAAAGAGCACUAAGUUGCAAAGAAGAACUCAUUCCAUGCUCCAUGACUAACCUUAAACCAGGCAUUCACAACUUGAAAUGUGUUCAUAGCAUAGCCCUGUAAACUUCAGGUAAAGGUCACAUUUCAGACCUUUUUUGUAAACAGUAAAUUAUAAUAGUAAGUUACACGUGAAGACACUGUCCUUACAACACAUCAUAUCAUGACCAGUACAGCCUAAGGGUCCUCCGAUCAUCCUCUCCCUCCUGGGUUCCUUGUAAAUGUUCCCAGUGUUACUGGUUUGGUAUAUCUCUUUCUGGUCCUUUUUCCUAGCCAUUUAUACAUACAUCCUUGAAACCACAAAAAAGAUAAAGCAGAAGAGUAUAGACUCCAGGAUAGCCAUUAUGGAGGAGAAUCUGCCUCUGCCAAUAUUUAGUCAUAUUAAGUACAUAAAUAUCCCAUGAUCCAUUCAUCCUGUUGGAUGUGUCUCCCAGUGACUCGACCCACAGAUCCAUGAGUGCAUGUUCACAGAUGUUCCCUGCAACGCUGUGUGUGGAAACUGGGAGUUGCAAGAAGAGAUAAGGAAACCCAUGGUGACAGCAAAUGUCUAACAAGGUAGAUAGAUGGAUUAAUCAUAAGAACAUAGCGCUGAAUUUAGAAAGUGAGAAAUACUAAGUGCUAGAGCACAAAACUAUUUGUGUAGAUUUAAAAACACACAAAUCUCAUCUGCCAUAAUAACCACAUACCUCAAAUGAUUGCCAUGAGUAGGGUAAAACAUGAAAAUAGUCCCUGUCAUGUGUUAAGCACUUAGUAAAUAUUCACUAUUGUUAGAUAAAAAGAUGUUCACAGUAUACUAUAAACUUUCUAUUACAAAA
rnacentral:lncRNA from 1 species